rnacentral:tRNA from 1 species
CAGUUUAAAUUUUUAUAGUUAAAAAUUUCAUUUACAUUGAAAAUCAAUUUGUGCAAAUCAAAUUAAAUUGA